rnacentral:rRNA from 1 species
UACGUAGGGGGCUAGCGUUGUCCGGAAUCAUUGGGCGUAAAGCGCGCGUAGGCGGCCAGAUAAGUCCGGUGUGAAAGUCACAGGCUCAACCUGUGAAUGCCGCUGGAAACUGUCUGGCUAGAGUCCGGAAGGGGCGAGUGGAAUUCCUGGUGUAGCGGUGAAAUGCGCAGAUAUCAGGAGGAACACCAAUGGCGUAGGCAGCUCGCUGGGACGGUACUGACGCUGAGGCGCGAAAGCUAGGGGAGCAAACAGG